AUUGAACGCUGGCGGCAGGCCUAACACAUGCAAGUCGAGCGAGCGGCGGACGGGUGAGUAAUGUAUGGGGACUGCCCGAUAGAGGGGGAUAACUACUGGAAACGGUGGCUAAUACCGCAUACUAUCGGAUAACCCAUAUGGGAUUAGCUAGUAGGUUGGGUAAAGGGUCACCUAGGCGACGAUCUCUAGCUGGUCUGAGAGGAUGAUCGGCGCCACUGGGACUGGAACAUGGCCCAGACUCCUACGGAAGCAGCAUUGGGGAAAUUUGGACAAAGGGCGCAAGCCGGGUGCAAGCAUUCCGCGUGUAUGAAAAAGGCCUUAGGGUUGUAAACUAAUUUCAGCGGGGAGGAGUUACCUCCAGAAGAAGCACCGGCUAACUCCGUGCCCGCAGCCGCGGUAAUAC
rnacentral:rRNA from 1 species